rnacentral:rRNA from 1 species
ACGGAGGAUCCGAGCGUUAUCCGGAUUUACUGGGUUUAAAGGGUGCGUAGGCGGGCGCUUAAGUCAGCGGUGAAAUGCGGGGGCUCAACCUUCGAACGGCCGUUGAUACUGGGCGCCUUGGAUUCGGUCGAGGCGGGCGGAAUGCGUGGUGUAGCGGUGAAAUGCUUAGAUAUCACGCAGAACGCCGAUUGCGAAGGCAGCUCGCCGGGCCGAUAUUGACGCUGAGGCACGAAAGCGUGGGGAUCGAACAG